AUAAAAGAAUGCUUGGCAGGAAUACAAAAACUCUACGCACUUAAAUAAUGUUACCGUUUUUAACCAUAAUGAAAGAAGUCUGUUUCUAUGUCUGUAUUUCAUUUUUCUCAAUAACCGCUCACCUGAUCGACUUCAAACUUGAAUGACUUCUUCGGUUGCGAUUCGGACUCUCUUUGUCUUUGAAAGUUCUUGAGCAAGUUCUGUGGACACACGAAAACAGAUGGUGGAUGUUAACAAGACACAGACGCAGAAACAGAUAUCACCUUCAGACGUUGUCGCCUCAGCUGCCGGCUCCUCAGCCGUCUGCUGCACUGAUGAAGGUUUCCACACAGCGAGGCACGUCAGUCUGGCUGUUGUGUUCACUUCCCCAAGGAGGGUGGGAGGCUCCAGCUCCUGUUGGACAGCAGCAGUACAUCAUCAGAUAAUCGGCAGCUCAGCAGAUGAAACACCUGCCUCAAUGACUCUGGAGCAGAGCUGUGGGUUUUACCUGAGAGUUUUGUCUGUCCCAACUGAAAGUGCAAGUUUCCCAGAUGGAUGGACGGACAGCGACAUGACAUGGCCUCUGA